rnacentral:piRNA from 1 species
UAGGAUCCGGAGGUGGUGAGAUGAUUUAU